ensembl:lncRNA
CUAGAAUGACAUUUAAAAGCUCUGAAGUUUAAUUGCUGUGGAUAACCAUCGAUCAUUGCUGGGCUGCCCCUGGGACGGUGGACUUUGAGAGAGGAGAAAACAAGCCCAGGCAGAGCAUCCUGCCCCUGGUCAUUGAUGGUAGAGCUGGUUCAGAGGAACACAUGCUGGUCCAAGUUCUGCCUUAGUAUUGCCAACUGUCUUUGGCAUCAGACUAGCUCAGCUGUGCAAGGAGAGAUCAAGGAAUGGAGCUGCUAUCCCCUUUUGGGCAGUGCACCCAUGGGGACCAUAUGGAGAUGGUAGAGAUCAUCCAGUAUGAAUAUCUCCACCUGCCCCCAGGUACAUAGUUGUAUAUUCUUCGUUGUGGAUCCUUCUAAUUGUGACAUGUGGGACGCCUCCUCAGUGUGGCCUGACAAGCAGUGCCAUGUCUGCGCUCAGGAUCCGAACCAAUGAAACACUGGGCCGCCUGCAGUGGAGCGUGUGAACCUAACCACUUGGCCACGGGGCCAGCGCUGAGACAGGUGAUACCACCUUUUUAUCAACUCCCAAAGGGAAAAGAAAUCCCUCUAUUUCCCAAUCAUUUACUACUCAGAAAAAUAAUCAAUAUACUCAAAAUAGAACCUAUGCCUAUUCUGUUCUCCGAAUAUUUUUGUACGUUAAAAAAAAAAAACACCUCAUCACUUCCUAUUCGACUCCACCUUAUUUCCUGCCUUAAUCUUAAAAAUUCAAGGUACUUUUUUGACUAAACAGUCUUCAUCCUAUCCACACUUCCACAGGCAGUUUAAAGAAACAUGAAAGAGAGGGGCUGCAGCCAUGAUAUUCUAUUGUCAUUGUGGCCCUCUGCACCAAGCCAGCCAUGUGAAAGAGAUCCACAUCUCUCGGUCUCACAUCGAGUGUUUACUUUUUAUCAUUUCAAAAUGUUUCUCUCUGAUAGCACUCCUGUCAAAUUUAUGAAUAAGUCUGGAAAUUUUCAAGAUAAGCUGAAAUCGGUCUUCUUUGUUGGCUUAUGACUCAAAUUCCUUCUACUUCUUCAGAGAGGAAGCUACUGAUUUUAGAAUCCAACUGCUGUAUGUUUCUUUGCCCCAACUCUAGUUGUAAAUCACACUUGGUUUCACAGAUUUGAUAAAGCCUGUGAGCUUAUAAUGUCCCUGCCAGAACUAGCCAAGAGUUACUUCCCGGGGAAUGAAGUCAGUUGGCAGCCCUUCUAGCCACAUAAAUAUGACCCUAUUAGGUGGAAGUCAGUGGGCCUGUCUAACGGUGGGGAUUUGCUCAAACAACUCCACAAAGUAGCAUGAUCAAAGUGAUAAAAGAAAUUUCCUAAAAUGACAGGAGGACAAAAAAAAAAACAAAACAGAGCAUUCUGUGUUGAUUUUUGUCAUCUGCCCUUCAACUCUACUUGGGCUCUGCAGCAAGAAGGAUUUUCUACCAAUACGUAACUGAUUUCUAUAUAAAAACACGAGCUUAUCCACUAAUACAGACCAUCUCUCACACCUCAGAUCCCACAUCACAUCAGAAACUUCUAUUUUGAAAACUGAAAGCACAGAGACUUGUAUAGGUUUUGGCAGUGGUGGGAGAGGAGCAGGGAGUUAUAAAACUUCAGAUACUGACUUUAUACAUUUCCUGUCUUUCUAAAUUUGAAAUACACUCAGUGCCCUUUGAUGGUGCUGGUGAAGACCAAUGGUAAUGGCAGAGAAGAAUUAUGCUGUCACACUGACAUAUAUUUUACCCAUGAAUAAAAAGAGUGCCUAUAAUAGAACUGAUAAUGGUUUAUUAUCACAAGAACUGCCUUGCUCAGUGGCUCUUAUUUGACUCUAUCAAAGACCAUCUGCUAACAUGGAAAUAUGUUGUUUGAAUAUUCACUCAUUAUUUAAUUCACUGAGCAUAUACUGAGUGUCUACUAUGCACAUAUGCUAUGUGCAUUUGCCUCUGAUAUUACUGACACAAAGAUUGUGCAUGCAUGGUUUGGGGGUGGAUAAGGAGAGCAUAGACAAG